AUUUUAGAUGAGGCAUACAAAUUUCUUUAAUGCUUCCCUUCCCUCCCCAAAUAUCAUCUGACUGCCUAUUAUCUGGUGUUACCUAGUCCACUGUAAGUUAAUACUCAAAGGAAAGAAAGCACUUAAGUGUCACAGAAGCCGUUAUGUUUCAUUAUCAAUAGGAAUGGAUCGAUAGUUGAAUAAUGUUUUUUUUAUACAUAGAUAUAUAAAUCACAUCCAGUAAAACUUACUUAAAUUUUUUUUCUUUCAAAAUGUCUCAGAAUUUGUUUUUUCAAAGGCUGAUUGAUCUUAGACCAAGUCAAAUUCCCUUUAUCAUCUAGCUAUUUUUUGAGAAGUUAGAGGAAUAAUUUGUAAAUAUUUAUUUAGAUCUUUGAUAUUUAUUAAAAGCAAUUACACACAAUGGAAGUGAAAGAAUAAGGAGAAAAGCCUUUUUAAAAGUUUUCUCUGGGUUUUGUCAGGGUCACUCUAAAUAUAAAAAUCUAACUGAAUCUUCUGUGAAAAAAAAAAACAAACAUCCAAGCCUAAUGUUGUUGCAGAUGGUGGUGACACAAGUUAAUUGACCAGCAACUGCCAAAUAAUGCACAAUAUUUUGCAGAAACUACGUAGCAGCCCCAUUCAAAACAACAUACUAAAUUACACAGUGACUUGCAUUAUUUCUAGUGUCUGUGUAAUUAAUCCAUGUUGCCAUUUUGCUGUGGCACUGGUGAGGUCCAACAUAGCUGAAGAAAAUUAAUCUUGUUCAGUUAUUUUAAAAAUACCCAAACUUCGAUCCACCCCUAUGAAAGCAAGUUAUUGUGGAAAUAUUUUUGGUGUAAAAUCAUUCCAGAGUAUGUACUAUUUAACUGAUAGCUGCAUGAAAGUAAGAUUCGUGUUACUUUGGCUUUUUUGUCUCUGUUGACACGGUUGCACAUUUCCAAGUUACUACAGCGUGAAAACUGUGUGUUUAAAAAAAACAAAAAACAAAAAACAAAAAAAGACAUUGUGGCCUGGUUUUGUAUAAGUUUUAGGUAAAAUUACAAUUGAUUGUUUUAGGAAUCAUUAUUAAAAUUAAUUUUCUGCAAAUCAUAAAGCUAUAUUACGGUGUUGAGCUUAGCCACUAUGCACAUUGUAAUUAUUCAUUGUGGCUGUCCAGUUCUAUGAUGCAUUCUGGCAUUUUGUAAGCUGCUCUGACUAGCAAUAUAUAGAGUCAUUUAAUGUGUUAACAUUGGUUAAUAAAUGUAUUUAAAAUAAUCACUGGCUUAAUAAAGUGUCAAUCUAGUCCAGUCCCCUGCAUCUAAAUACAACUGCAGCUGAAUGUUGAUUCUGUAUUAUGGGUCAUUCAUUGGCAACCAUUUUCCUUAUAAAAGAAUAAUUUUAUUAAAG
rnacentral:lncRNA from 1 species